rnacentral:rRNA from 1 species
GACGAACGCUGGCGGCGUGCUUAACACAUGCAAGUCGAACGGUAAGGCCCUUCGGGGUACACGAGUGGCGAACGGGUGAGUAACACGUGGGUGAUCUGCCCUGCACUUCGGGAUAAGCCUGGGAAACUGGGUCUAAUACCGGUUAGGACCCUGGGAUGCAUGUCCUGGGGUGGAAAGCUUUUGCGGUGUGGGAUGGGCCCGCGGCCUAGCAGCUUGUUGGUGGGGUGAUGGCCUACCAAGGCGACGACGGGUAGCCGGCCUGAGAGGGUGACCGGCCACACUGGGACUGAGAUACGGCCCAGAGUCCUACGGGAGGCAGCAGUGGGGAAUAUUGCACAAUGGGCGCAAGCCUGAUGCAGCGACGCCGCGUGAGGGAUGACGGCCUUCGGGUUGUAAACCUCUUUCGGCACCGACGAAGCGCAAGUGACGGUAGGUGCAGAAGAAGGACCGGCCAACUACGUGCCAGCAGCCGCGGUAA